GAUGAACGCUGGCGGCGUGCUUAACACAUGCAAGUCGAACGAAGUGCUUUUGUUCAAUCCCUUCGGGGUGCGAACUUAAGUAUCUUAGUGGCGGACGGGUGAGUAACGCGUGGGUAACCUGCCUUAUGCAGGGGGAUAACAGUUAGAAAUGACUGCUAAUACCGCAUAAGCGCACAGUAUCGCAUGAUACAGUGAGAAAAGAUUUAUCAGCAUAAGAUGGACCCGCGUCUGAUUAGCUAGUUGGUGAGGUAACGGCUCACCAAGGCGACGAUCAGGAGCCGACUUGAGAGAGUGAUCGGCCACAUUGGGACUGAGACACGGCCCAAACUCCUACGGGAGGCAGCAGUGGGGAAUAUUGCACAAUGGGGGAAACCCUGAUGCAGCGACGCCGCGUGAGCGAUGAAGUAUUUCGGUAUGUAAAGCUCUAUCAGCAAGGAAGAUAAUGACGGUACUUGACUAAGAAGCCCCGGCUAACUACGUGCCAGCCGCCGCCGUAAUAC
rnacentral:rRNA from 1 species